GACAGAGGAUGCAAGCGUUAUCCGGAAUGAUUGGGCGUAAAGCGUCUGUAGGUGGCUUUUUAAGUCCGCCGUCAAAUCCCAGGGCUCAACCCUGGACAGGCGGUGGAAACUACCAAGCUGGAGUACGGUAGGGGCAGAGGGAAUUUCCAGUGAAGUGGUGAAAUGCGUAGAUAUUGGAAAGACCACCAAUGGCGAAGGCACUCUACUGGGCCACUACUGACACUGAGAGACGAAAGCUAGGGGAGCAAAUGGG
rnacentral:rRNA from 1 species